CAUUCAUACCAACAUGAGAGCUCAUAUGGAGAUGUUUAAAGAGAAAUAUCUAAGCAAGAUUACUACUACUAUUUCAACUACUUAAGAGGGCACCUUUCAGAUAGGGUAUUUUAAAAGAAAUCAUAUAUGUUAACAUUAUACUUCAUCAAGCUUAAUCACAAGGAUGGCACGAAAGACAUUAUCGACAGUUGAAGCCACCAUGAGUACAUGAUAAAGUUUAAUAAGGUGAUAGAUGUUAUGUUGUGCCAUAGGUUCUCCCUUUACCGUUUAAGAAGAGGGAAAAAAGUUUAAAUGCUCAACUUAGGCAGCAUUGAAGAUUUUAAAGAACUAGUUGAUCAAUUCCCAACAUGGUUAACUAGCAACUUGAAG
rnacentral:lncRNA from 1 species